rnacentral:misc_RNA from 1 species
AUUCCCCCUUGUCACAGCAUC